AGUGGCCGGCCAUGCUAUGGGUCAUAGCAUAUUUUAAGCAUGGUGUGUUAAUGCUUCAUGUUGGAAAGAAUAAAAUAAAAGAGUUAGUAAUAAAAUAAGGGGAUGAAGGGUGAAGAAAAGAAAAAAAAAAGUAUCAUCUUGUCCUUCUUAGCCGUACAAGAAGAAGAAAGUUUUUGGUUGCUUUAAUUUUUGACUUAGAAGAUGGCUAGAAGGAGGAAAAACUAUGAUUUUAGCUAGUUAGGUAGCUGAAAUUUCAAGUAACCCGGUAAUCCAUCGAAGAAGAAGGAGAGGGCUACAACAAAAAAAAAAAUGGAGACAACUUGCAUGUUGAAGGAAACUAAGGAUUUAGCUUGUUAGGAGUUGUAUCCUAAGUUGCUUAAGAGCAAAGAGGAUCAAAGUCGGAUAGGGGAAAAGAGAAAGUAAACGAAUAGCCGUGGACAUCUAAUCGUCGACCACUUCCGAGAUCUCAUUUGGAAGCUACAAGUUUGGGGAUCACAAGAACUAGUCACAUUAUCACCAUCCUUUGCUUGGUAUCGCUACGUUUUGGAAUAUCUUAUGGCAUGUAUAGAAUAGACUAGUAGUGAGAGGAUAUUUUGGUUAAUGUAUAGGACUACCCUUUUGUUUGUAGGUCAUGUACCUUUCGGUUUUGUGUAAAUUUGGAUAGCCAUGCGAAAAUGGCUUAAGUACACUUUGAUCAUAGCAUUAUAAUCGUUUUGUAUGUCGUCCGUCGAGAGGUAUGGAAAUGUUGGUAACGGUUAGUCAUGGGAAUGGUUAUUCAUAAUCACUUUUGGUAUAUGUAUGACAAACUCUAGUUGAUCCAUGGAGGAUCAUGAAAUAGGUAAAGUUUACCUUAAAAAUAGAUGCUGGCAGCAGCAGUGAUGUGGUUGUGAAAAAUCUAUAAAAAUAGUAGGAAUGGAAUUAAAUAGCCAAUAAAUUAUGUAAUCAAA